rnacentral:lncRNA from 1 species
GAGGCAGUCGAUCGGCAGAUUUGCUUAAUGGAGUGGGUUCAUCAUAUGCAGGCUGUGCAGAGAACAAAGGUGAUGAGUUCACAGCAUUGGAAGGAGGAGGAGGAGGAGGAGGUGAGGCUGAUAAAGUUGGAGAAUAUGGGGGUGAGGAGUUUGUGUUGGAAUGGACUGGAACUGUAAAGGGUGUGGGCUCCGGCCUCUGUGGAGAUCCUUGAGACUUGUAGGCAUCACCACUGAGAUAAUCAAUCAUGCCGGAGUCUGUGCUUACUGGCCUCUUUGAUGCAGGAGGAGGAGGAAGCC